AACGAACGCUGGCGGCAUGCCUAACACAUGCGAGUCGAACGAGACCUUCGGGUCUAGUGGCGCACGGGUGCGUAACGCGUGGGAACAUGCCCUUAGGUUCGGCAUAACUCCCCGAAAGGGGUGCUAAUACCGGAUAAUGUCUUCGGACCAAAGAUUUAUCGCCUUUGGAUGGGCCCGCGUUGGAUUAGCUAGUUGGUAGGGUAAAAGCCUACCAAGGCUACGUUACAUAGCUGGUCUGAGAGGAUGGUCAGCCACACUGGGACUGGGACACGGCCCAGACUCCUGCGGGAGGCAGCAGUGGGGAAUAUUGGACAACGGGCGAGAGCCUGAGCCAGCAAUGCCGCGUGAGUGAUGAAGGCCUUAGGGUUGUAAAGCUCUUUUACCCGGGAUGAUAAUGACAGUACCGGGAGAAUAAGCGCCGGCUAACUCCGUG
rnacentral:rRNA from 1 species